rnacentral:lncRNA from 1 species
CCCCAUUUUCCCCAUCCCUCAGCCGCCGCCACCCUCACACAGCACACACACAUAAACCGAGAACAGGAGAGAGAGAGAGAGAUCGAGAGGGAGAGAGAGAGAGAGAAUAAAGGUGUUACCUGAGGCAGGGGGCGGCGGUGCGACGGCGGCGAAAGUGGCGGGACUCGCCGGAGGGGCGAAAUUCAGAGAGGAGAGGGAGGCUGAAAACCCUAGAAAUUGGGGAUUUUAUUUUGGGGAAGAAAUAAGGAAGAAAAUGAAAGGAGAGGAGAAGGAAUAAGAAGAGGCGCCGGCCUCGUCACGCCAGAGGCGGCGAGAACCGGCGACGUCGCCGGACGAAAGAGGGAGAGAGACGACAUGGAGCGAGAGAAAGCAAUAACGCAGAGAGAGAGAGAGUUUGCGUACAAAUAAGAGGGGGUUUGGUUGGGUGAGUAAUUAGACACCGAUCCGGGCAGACGGAAGCAGACCAUGGGCGCGGCGAACUGAGGGGGCUGGACGGAGGCGCGGCAGACCGGGGGGGCGCGGCGGACUGGAAGAAGGUGAGGAUUGGGGAAGC